CCUACGAGAGGCAGCAGUGAGGAAUAUUGGUCAAUGGGCGCUAGGCUGAACCAGCCAAGUAGCGUGAAGGAAGACUGCCCUACGGGUUGUAAACCUCUUUUGUAGGGGAGUAAAGUGCAUCAUGUAUAAUUCAUUGAGUGUACCCGAAGAAUAAGGAUCGGCUAACUCCGUGCCAGCAGCCGCGGUAAUACGGAGGAUUCGAGCGUUAUCCGGAUUUAUUGGGUUUAAAGGGGGCGUAGGCGGGUUGGUAAGUCAGGCGUGAAAGUUGCGGGCUCAACCCUCGUACUGCAGUUGAGACUGGAACCCUUGAGUGCGGUAGAGGUAGGCAGAAUUCGUGGUGUAGCGGUGAAAUGCUUAGAUAUCACGCAGAACUCCGAUUGCGAAGGCAGCAUACCGGCCUGCAACUGACGCUGAUGCUCGAAAGUGUGGGUAUCGAACAGGAUUAGAUACCCGAGUAGUC
rnacentral:rRNA from 1 species